GCGGCAUGCCUUACACUGCAAGUCGAACGGCAGCGGGGGAAAGCUUGCUUUCCUGCCGGCGAGUGGCGAACGGGUGAGUAAUACAUCGGAACGUGCCCUGUAGUGGGGGAUAACUAGUCGAAAGAUUAGCUAAUACCGCAUACGACUGAGGGUGAAAGUGGGGGACCGCAAGGCCUCAUGCUAUAGGAGCGGCCGAUGUCUGAUUAGCUAGUUGGUGGGGUAAAGGCCCACCCAGGCGACGAUCAGUAGCUGGUCUGAGAGGACGAUCAGCCACACUGGGACUGAGACACGGCCCAGACUCCUACGGGAGGCAGCAGUGGGGAAUUUUGGACAAUGGGCGAAAGCCUGAUCCAGCAAUGCCGCGUGUGUGAAGAAGGCCUUCGGGUUGUAAAGCACUUUUGUCCGGAAAGAAAUGGCUCUGGUUAAUACCUGGGGUCGAUGACGGUACCGGAAGAAUAAGGACCGGCUAACUACGUGCCAGCAGCCGCGGUAAUACGUAGGGUCCAAGCGUUAAUCGGAAUUACUGGGCGUAAAGCGUGCGCAGGCGGUUGUGCAAGACCGAUGUGAAAUCCCCGAGCUUAACUUGGGAAUUGCAUUGGUGACUGCACGGCUAGAGUGUGUCAGAGGGGGGUAGAAUUCCACGUGUAGCAGUGAAAUGCGUAGAGAUGUGGAGGAAUACCGAUGGCGAAGGCAGCCCCCUGGGAUAACACUGACGCUCAUGCACGAAAGCGUGGGGAGCAAACAGGAUUAGAUACCCUGGUAGUCCACGCCCUAAACGAUGUCAACUAGUUGUUGGGGAUUCAUUUCCUUAGUAACGUAGCUAACGCGUGAAGUUGACCGCCUGGGGAGUACGGUCGCAAGAUUAAAACUCAAAGGAAUUGACGGGGACCCGCACAAGCGGUGGAUGAUGUGGAUUAAUUCGAUGCAACGCGAAAAACCUUACCUACCCUUGACAUGCCACUAACGAAGCAGAGAUGCAUUAGGUGCUCGAAAGAGAAAGUGGACACAGG
rnacentral:rRNA from 1 species